UUUCUGCUCAGGAUGAACGCUGGCGGCGUGCCUAAUACAUGCAAGUCGAGCGAACAGACGAGGAGCUUGCUCCUCUGACGUUAGCGGCGGACGGGUGAGUAACACGUGGAUAACCUACCUAUAAGACUGGGAUAACUUCGGGAAACCGGAGCUAAUACCGGAUAAUAUAUUGAACCGCAUGGUUCAAUAGUGAAAGACGGUUUUGCUGUCACUUAUAGAUGGAUCCGCGCCGCAUUAGCUAGUUGGUAAGGUAACGGCUUACCAAGGCAACGAUGCGUAGCCGACCUGAGAGGGUGAUCGGCCACACUGGAACUGAGACACGGUCCAGACUCCUACGGGAGGCAGCAGUAGGGAAUCUUCCGCAAUGGGCGAAAGCCUGACGGAGCAACGCCGCGUGAGUGAUGAAGGUCUUCGGAUCGUAAAACUCUGUUAUUAGGGAAGAACAAAUGUGUAAGUAACUAUGCACGUCUUGACGGUACCUAAUCAGAAAGCCACGGCUAACUACGUGCCAGCAGCCGCGGUAAUACGUAGGUGGCAAGCGUUAUCCGGAAUUAUUGGGCGUAAAGCGCGCGUAGGCGGUUUUUUAAGUCUGAUGUGAAAGCCCACGGCUCAACCGUGGAGGGUCAUUGGAAACUGGAAAACUUGAGUGCAGAAGAGGAAAGUGGAAUUCCAUGUGUAGCGGUGAAAUGCGCAGAGAUAUGGAGGAACACCAGUGGCGAAGGCGACUUUCUGGUCUGUAACUGACGCUGAUGGCGAAAG
rnacentral:rRNA from 1 species